rnacentral:rRNA from 1 species
GACGAACGCUGGCGGCGUGCCUAAUACAUGCAAGUCGAGCGAAGUUUUUCUGGUGCUUGCACUAGAAAAACUUAGCGGCGCACGGGUGAGUCACACGUAAAGAACCUGCCUCAUAGACUGGGACAACUAUUGGAAACGAUAGCUAAUACCGGAUAACAGUAUUUCUCGCAUGAGAGAUAUUUAAAAGUUUGUUAUGCUAACACUAUGAGAUGGCUUUGCGGUGCAUUAGCUAGUUGGUGGGGUAAAGGCCCACCAAGGCGACGAUGCAUAGCCGACCUGAGAGGGUGAUCGGCCACACUGGGACUGAGACACGGCCCAGACUCCUACGGGAGGCAGCAGUAGGGAAUCUUCCGCAAUGGGCGAAAGCCUGACGGAGCAACGCCGCGUGAGUGAAGAAGGAUUUCGGCUCGUAAAGCUCUGUUGUUAGGGAAGAAUGGAUAUGUAGUAACUAUACAUGUAAGAGACGGUACCUAACCAGAAAGCCACGGCUAACUACGUG